rnacentral:misc_RNA from 1 species
AUUAAUUUUUCAAAUGGUGCUCUUAGCCCUCCUUUUAUUUACAGAGAAAGUUGUCCUCUCUUAUUUACUAGGAAUUGAAUAGUUCAAACAUAUAUAUGGGAAUUUUUGAAGACAUACAUGAAGUCUAAGGUUGUAUGUUUAAGUGAUAUUCAAUUGAAAGUAUUAGUAACUGCAGAUUAAAAUCUAUAGGGUAUUUUAAUGUGAAAUUUAUAACAGUAGACUAGUAAGAAAUUGAUGAGUUUUGAAAAUUGUAUUGUUUACAUGUGUAUGUAAACGUGCUGCAGUUUUGUUCUUUUUCCAUUCUCAAACAAAAUGUACUGGGGUACAUCAAUGAUAAAAUGGUCCUUGUUAUGACUACAUGUAUGUAAAAACUUGUGUGAUACACAUUUUAAUUUAUUACUAAACAUACAAUAAAGUGGCAUCUGG